rnacentral:rRNA from 1 species
UACGUAGGGUGCGAGCGUUGUCCGGAAUUACUGGGCGUAAAGAGCUCGUAGGUGGUUUGUCGCGUUGUUCCGUGAAAACUCACAACUCAAUUGUGGGCGUGCGGGCGAUACGGGCAGACUGGAGUACUGCAGGGGAGACUGGAAUUCCUGGUGUAGCGGUGGAAUGCGCAGAUAUCAGGAGGAACACCGGUGGCGAAGGCGGGUCUCUGGGCAGUAACUGACGCUGAGGAGCGAAAGCGUGGGGAGCGAACAGG